rnacentral:rRNA from 1 species
UACAGAGGGUGCAAGCGUUAAUCGGAAUUACUGGGCGUAAAGCGUGCGUAGACGGUUAUGUAAGUCAGAUGUGAAAGCCCCGGGCUUAACCUGGGAAUGGCAUUUGAGACUGCAUAGCUAGGGUGCGGAAGAGGGAAGCGGAAUUUCCGGUGUAGCGGUGGAAAUGCGUAGAUAUCGGAAGGAACACCAGUGGCGAAAGCGGCUUCCGUGGUCCAGCACCGACGUCAGGCACGAAAGCGUGGGGAGCAAACAGG